GACGGAGGAUGCAAGCGUUAUCCGGAAUGAUUGGGCGUAAAGCGUCCGUAGGUGGCAGUUCAAGUCUGCUGUCAAAGACCGGGGCUUAACUUCGGAAAGGCAGUGGAAACUGAACAGCUAGAGUAUGGUAGGGGCAGAGGGAAUUCCUGGUGUAGCGGUGAAAUGCGUAGAGAUCAGGAAGAACACCGGUGGCGAAAGCGUUCUGCUGGGCUGCGACUGACACUGAGGGACGAAAGCUAGGGGAGCGAAUGGG
rnacentral:rRNA from 1 species